rnacentral:rRNA from 1 species
GAUGAACGCUGGCGGCGUGCCUAAUACAUGCAAGUCGAGCGAACAGACGAGGAGCUUGCUCCUCUGACGUUAGCGGCGGACGGGUGAGUAACACGUGGAUAACCUACCUAUAAGACUGGGAUAACUUCGGGAAACCGGAGCUAAUACCGGAUAAUAUAUUGAACCGCAUGGUUCAAUAGUGAAAGACGGUUUUGCUGUCACUUAUAGCUGGAUCCGCGCCGCAUUAGCUAGUUGGUAAGGUAACGGCUUACCAAGGCAACGAUGCGUAGCCGACCUGAGAGGGUGAUCGGCCACACUGGAACUGAGACACGGUCCAGACUCCUACGGGAGGCAGCAGUAGGGAAUCUUGCGCAAUGGGCGAAAGCCUGACGGAGCAACGCCGCGUGAGUGAUGAAGGUCUUCGGAUCGUAAAACUCUGUUAUUAGGGAAGAACAAAUGUGUAAGUAACUAUGCACGUCUUGACGGUACCUAAUCAGAAAGCCACGGCUAACUACGUG